rnacentral:rRNA from 1 species
UACGGAGGGUGCAAGCGUUAUCCGGAUUCACUGGGUUUAAAGGGUGCGUAGGUGGGCUGGUAAGUCAGUGGUGAAAUCUCCAGGCUUAACUUGGAAACUGCCAUUGAUACUAUCAGUCUUGAAUACCGUGGAGGUCAGCGGAAUAUGUCAUGUAGCGGUGAAAUGCUUAGAUAUGACAUAGAACACCAAUUGCGAAGGCAGCUGGCUACACGAAUAUUGACACUGAUGCACGAAAGCGUGAGGAUCAAACAGG